CCUACGGGAGGCAGCAGUGAGGAAUAUUGGUCAAUGGGCGGGAGCCUGAACCAGCCAAGUCGCGUGAGGGAAGACGGUCCUAUGGAUUGUAAACCUCUUUAGGCGGGGAGCAAUGCCGGGCACGUGUGCCCGGAGGGAGAGUACCCGCAGAAUAAGCAUCGGCAAACUCCGUGCCAGCAGCCGCGGUAAUACGGAGGAGGGGAGCGUUAUCCGGAUUGAUUGGGUUUAAGGGGUGCGUAGGCGGAUUUUUAAGUCAGCGGUAAAAUGUCGGGGCGCAACCCGGGCGGGCCGUUGAAACUGGGGAUCUUGAGUGGGCGAGAAGUAGGCGGAAUGCGUGGUGUAGCGGUGAAAUGCAUAGAUAUCACGCAGAACUCCGAUGGCGAAGGCAGCAUACCGGCGCCCGACUGACGCUGAGGCACGAAAGCGUGGGGAUCGAACAGGAUUAGAUACCCCGGUAGUC
rnacentral:rRNA from 1 species